rnacentral:lncRNA from 1 species
GACGCGGGCAGCGACAACCGGGGCCAGCUGCUGCUGUUCGUGGUGGCGCCCGCCAUCGGGUGGGUGCUCUACAACAUCCUGCAGCCGGCGCUGAACCAGCUCAACCGCAUGCGCAGCCAGGCGGUCAUCGCCGGCGUGGGCCUCGGCGCCGCCGCCACCGCCGCGGGGAUGGCGUGCGCGCCCGAAGCCUCGGCCGCUGUCCAGGACCUCGCCGCGCUGGCGGCCGCCGCGGCUGCCCCCGCCGACGACAACCGGGGCCUGCUGCUGCUCAUCGUCGUCGCGCCCGCCAUUGGGUGGGUUCUCUUCAACAUCCUCCAGCCCGCGCUCAACCAGCUCAACCGCAUGCGGUCCGACUGAGCGAGCUCUCUUGCCAAGCACCUGCAGUGCGUGUGCGUUCGUGUGUAUUAAAAUUAAGGAUGGUAGUAACGUGAAUCGCGGUCUGCGUGCC